rnacentral:rRNA from 1 species
UGGGGAAUAUUGCACAAUGGGCGCAAGCCUGAUGCAGCCAUGCCGCGUGUGUGAAGAAGGCCUUCGGGUUGUAAAGCACUUUCAGCGAGGAGGAAGGUGGUGAGCUUAAUACGCUCAUCAAUUGACGUUACUCGCAGAAGAAGCACCGGCUAACUCCGUGCCAGCAGCCGCGGUAAUACGGAGGGUGCAAGCGUUAAUCGGAAUUACUGGGCGUAAAGCGCACGCAGGCGGUUUGUUAAGUCAGGUGUGAAAUCCCCGGGCUCAACCUGGGAACUGCAUUUGAAACUGGCAAGCUAGAGUCUCGCAGAGGGGGGUAGAAUUCCAGGUGUAGCGGUGAAAUGCGUAGAGAUCUGGAGGAAUACCGGUGGCGAAGGCGGCCCCCCUGGACGAAGACUGACGCUCAGGUGCGAAAAGGCGUGGGGGCAGCAAAACAGGAUUAGAUACCCUGGUAGUCCACGCUGUAAACGAUGUCGAUUUGGAGGUUGUGCCCCUUGAGGCGUGGCUUCCGGAGCUAACGCGUUAAAUCGACCGCCNGGGGAGUACGGCCGCAAGGUUAAAACUCAAAUGAAUUGAC